UACGGGGGGGGCAAGCGUUGUUCGGAAUUACUGGGCGUAAAGGGCUCGUAGGCGGCCAACUAAGUCAGACGUGAAAUCCCUCGGCUUAACCGGGGAACUGCGUCUGAUACUGGAUGGCUAGAGGUUGGGAGAGGGAUGCGGAAUUCCAGGUGUAGCGGUGAAAUGCGUAGAUAUCUGGAGGAACACCGGUGGCGAAGGCGGCAUCCUGGACCAAUCCUGACGCUGAGGAGCGAAAGCCAGGGGAGCAAAGCGGG
rnacentral:rRNA from 1 species